ACGGUGGCCAAUGCCAGGUGCCCCCGAGGGAAUGAACAGAACAGUGCCUGUACCUACAGACCCUCUUAUACGGCACCAACAACAAAAGGACUAUAGCAACCCAGGAGGCCACUGACUUGUCAAAGGCCCCAGAUGUAGCAGCAAAACAGAGAAGAUGAGAUAAAAAAUGACCACCAUUCUGUGCUAUUGUGCAAUAGUACUCCAUAGUGGGAAGACCCAAAGCCUAUAUAUAUAUAUAUGAAGGUUUUUCAUGUUUACGUCUGAAGACUUAACCUGUAUCUGCAAGUAUCCGUCAAGCAGAACUGAAAUCCAUCAUUGGAUUAAAUACUGAAUGUAAAGCAAACUUUCAUGAGGAUAGAUUACUUACCUUAAUGGAUACAGGAAAAAAAUUAAUACAGGUGAAUGCCAUUUUUAAUGUUUAUACUCUUGGAUCAUAGCGUUUUUAAGAUUAUGUAAUGACAGCCUCUUCAGUUUUCUCUCUUGUGAAAGAAUUUUUUUUUUCCCUGUUUGGAAAUACAAAACUGCCACAGUAAUAAAA